CAGGCCUAACACAUGCAAGUCGAACGAGAAAGGGGAGCAAUCCCUGAGUACAGUGGCGCACGGGUGAGUAACACGUGACUAACCUACCCUCGAGCGGGGAAUAACCAAGGGAAACCUUGGCUAAUACCGCAUAAUACCUACGGGUCAAAGGAGUAAUCCACUUGAGGAGGGGGUCGCGGCCGAUUAGCUAGUUGGCGGGGUAAUGGCCCACCAAGGCAGUGAUCGGUAUCCGGCCUGAGAGGGCGCACGGACACACUGGAACUGAAACACGGUCCAGACUCCUACGGGAGGCAGCAGUGGGGAAUUUUGCGCAAUGGGGGAAACCCUGACGCAGCAACGCCGCGUGGAGGAUGAAGUCCCUUGGGACGUAAACUCCUUUCGAUCGGGACGAUUAUGACGUACCGGAAGAAGAAGCCCCGGCUACCUUCGUGCCAGCAGCCGCGGUAUACGAGGGGGGGCAAGCGUGUUCGGAAAUAUUGGGCGUAAAGGGAGUGUAGGCGGUUUGGUAAGUCUCGUGUGAAAUCUUCAGGCUCAACCUGAAGUCUGCACGAGAAACUGCCGGGCUUGAGUAUGGGAGAGGUGAGUGGAAUUCCUGGUGUAGCGGUGAAAUGCGUAGAUAUCAGGAGGAACACCUGUGGCGAAAGCGGCUCACUGGACCAUAACUGACGCUGAGACUCGAAAGCUAGGGGAGCAAACAGGAUUAGAUACCCUGGUAGUCCUAGCCCUAAACGAUGACUGCUUGAUGUGGCGGGUACCCAAUCCUGCCGUGUCGAAGCUAACGCGUUAAGCAGUCCGCCUGGGGAGUACUGUCGCCAGGCUGAAACUCAAAGGAAUUGACGGGGGCCCGCACAAGCGGUGGAGCAUGUGGUUUAAUUCGACGCAACGCGAAGAACCUUACCUAGGCUCGAAAUGUACAGGAAUCCGGUGGAAACAUCGGCGUCGCGCAAGGGAUCUGUAUAUAGGUGCUCAUGGCUGUCGUCAGCUCGUGUCGUGAGAUGUUGGGUUAAGUCCCGCAACGAGCGCAACCCUUACCCCCAGUUGCCAUCAUUCAGUUGGGCACUCUGGUGGAACCGCCUCGGAUAACGGGGAGGAAGGUGGGGAUGACGUCAAGUCCUCAUGGCCUUUAUGUCUAGGGCUACACACGUGCUACAAUGGCCGAUACAAACCGCCGCAAACCCGCGAGGGGGAGCUAAUCGGAAAAAGUCGGCCUCAGUUCGGAUCGCAGUCUGCAACUCGACUGCGUGAAGCUGGAAUCGCUAGUAAUCGCGGAUCAGAAUGCCGCGGUGAAUACGUUCCCGGGCCUUGUACACACCGCCC
rnacentral:rRNA from 1 species